rnacentral:rRNA from 1 species
CAACCGAGCGCAACCCUAUCUCUAGUUGCCAGCGAUUCGGUCGGGGACUCUAGAGAUACUGCCCGUUAACGGGAGGAAGGUGGGGAUGACGUCAAGUCCUCAUGGCCCUUAUGCCCAGGGCUACACACGUGCUACAAUGGGCGGUACAAAGGGUAGCGAUGCCGCGAGGCGAAGCCAAUCCCAAAAAGCCGUCCUCAGUUCGGAUUGGAGCCUGCAACUCGACUCCAUGAAGCCGGAAUCGCUAGUAAUCGCGGAUCAGCAUGCCGCGGUGAAUACGUUCCCGGGCCUU